CCUGAGAAACCCAAAAGAUCGAAUGGGGAGAUUCAGCGUCAGCUCAUUUUGUAUAUAUAUAAGUUAUGAUAUGGGUUACUACUUGUAGUAUUGCUUGUACAUUCUUGUAUAUUUAAUUGCAAGAUGUUGUCGGCGUGCACUUCUCCCCUAGUAGGACGUCGCGACCCGUUGAGUGUCGGUCUACGGCCCAAGUGGUAGCCUUUAAUUUUUUAAAUUGAAGACCCUUGGUGUUUCCUGGCUGGCUACUCGGCGGUAUUCGUACGGUAUUAAGCCGCAUUUCAUGCGUUCAUAUCCGUCGCAAGCGCGGUCAAUUUUUAGUAGUACGGACCUAGUGCCGUCGCUAUAAUUGAUCAGCUGUUGGUUGUACGGUAUUCUAGAACUGGCUUAAAUAAUUCAAAAUACCGGUCAGCGAUGCUACUGC
rnacentral:rRNA from 1 species